AAUGGACGAAAGUCUGAACCAGCCAUGCCGCGUGCAGGAGGAAGGCCCUACGGUCGUAAACUGCUUUUAUUUGGGAAGAAAAUCGAGGAGCGUAAUGAAUAAGCAUCGGCUAACUCCGUGCCAGCAGCCGCGGUAAUACGGAGGACGCAAGCGUUAUCCGGAUUUAUUGGGUUUAAAGGGUACGCAGGCGGGAUAAUAAGUCAGUGGUGAAAUCCUAUAGCUUAACUAUAGAACUGCCAUUGAUACUGUUAUUCUUGAGUGUAAUUGAAGUAAGUAGAAUGUGUUGUGUAGCGGUGAAACGCUUAGAUAUGACGCAGAAUACCAAUUGCGAAGGCAGCUUACUAAGUUACUACUGACGCUGAGGUACGAAAGCGUGGGGAGCGAACAGGAUU
rnacentral:rRNA from 1 species